rnacentral:rRNA from 1 species
UACGGAGGAUGCAAGCGUUAUCCGGAAUGAUUGGGCGUAAAGCGUCCGCAGGUGGCUGUGUAAGUCUGCUGUCAAAGAGCGAAGCUCAACUUCGUAAAGGCAGUGGAAACUGAUAGACUGGAGUGCGGUAGGGGCAGAGGGAAUUCCAGUGUAGCGGUGAAAUGCGUAGAUAUUGGGAAGAACACCGGUGGCGAAAGCGCUCUGCUGGACCUGCACUGACACUGAGGGACGAAAGCUAGGGGAGCGAAAGGG